rnacentral:rRNA from 1 species
UGGGGAAUUUUGGACAAUGGGCGAAAGCCUGAUCCAGCAAUGCCGCGUGUGUGAAGAAGGCCUUCGGGUUGUAAAGCACUUUUGUCCGGAAAGAAAUCCUUGGCUCUAAUACAGUCGGGGGAUGACGGUACCGGAAGAAUAAGCACCGGCUAACUACGUGCCAGCAGCCGCGGUAAUACGUAGGGUGCAAGCGUUAGUCGGAAUUACUGGGCGUAAAGCGUGCGCAGGCGGUUUGCUAAGACCGAUGUGAAAUCCCCGGGCUCAACCUGGGAACUGCAUUGGUGACUGGCAGGCUAGAGUAUGGCAGAGGGGGGUAGAAUUCCACGUGUAGCAGUGAAAUGCGUAGAGAUGUGGAGGAAUACCGAUGGCGAAGGCAGCCCCCUGGGCCAAAUACUGACGCUCAUGCACGAAAAGCGUGGGGAGCAAAACAGGAUUAGAUACCCUGGUAGUCCACGCCCUAAAACGAUGUCAACUAGUUGUUGGGGAUUCAUUUCCUUAGUAACGUAGCUAACGCGUGAAGUUGACCGCCUGGGGAGUACGGUCGCAAGAUUAAAAACUUAAAUGAAUUGACGGGGUCAUAGCUGUUUCCU